rnacentral:rRNA from 1 species
UAGAGUUUGAUCCUGGCUCAGAAUGAACGCUGGCGGCGUGCUUAACACAUGCAAGUCGCACGAGAACUCUUUAGCUUGCUAAAGAUAGUAAAGUGGCGCACGGGUGAGUAACGCGUGGGUAAUCUACCUCUAAAUCGGGGAUAACAUUGCGAAAGCGAUGCUAAUACCGGAUAAUAUCUUUUAAGCCUCGGCUUGUUAGAUCAAAGGUGGCCUCUACAUGUAAGCUACUGUUUAGAGAUGGGCCCGCGUACCAUUAGCUUGUUGGUAGGGUAAUGGCCUACCAAGGCAUCGAUAGUUAGCUGGUCUGAGAGGAUGAUCAGCCACACUGGAACUGACACACGGUCCAGACUCCUACGGGAGGCAGCAGUGAGGAAUUUUGCGCAAUGGGGGAAACCCUGACGCAGCAACGCCGCGUGAGUGAUGAAGGCCUUCGGGUCGUAAAGCUCUGUCAAGUGGAAAGAACCUGCUUUAUGCUAAUAUCAUAUUGCACUGACGGUACCACUGAAGGAAGCACCGGCUAACUCCGUGCCAGCAGCCGCGGUAAUACGGAGGGUGCAAGCGUUAUUCGGAAUUAUUGGGCGUAAAGAGCGCGUAGGCGGUCCUUUAAGUCAGAUGUGAAAGCCCGAGGCUUAACCUCGGAAGUGCAUUUGAAACUAAUAGACUUGAGUAUGGGAGAGGGAAGUGGAAUUCCUGGUGUAGAGGUGAAAUUCGUAGAUAUCACGAGGAACACCGGUGGCGAAGGCGACUUCCUGGACCAAUACUGACGCUGAGGCGCGAAGGCGUGGGGAGCAAACAGGAUUAGAUACCCUGGUAGUCCACGCAGUAAACGGUGAACACUAGGUGUAGCGGGUAUUGACCCCUGCUGUGCCGGAGUUAAUGCAUUAAGUGUUCCGCCUGGGGAGUACGACCGCAAGGUUAAAACUCAAAGGAAUUGACGGGGC